UACGUAGGGUGCGAGCGUUAAUCGGAAUUACUGGGCGUAAAGCGUGCGCAGGCGGUUCGUUAAGUCAGAUGUGAAAUCCCCGAGCUUAACUUGGGAACUGCAUUUGAAACUGGCGGGCUGGAGUGUGGCAGAGGGGGGUGGAAUUCCACGUGUAGCAGUGAAAUGCGUAGAGAUGUGGAGGAACACCGAUGGCGAAGGCAGCCCCCUGGGCCAACACUGACGCUCAGGCACGAAAGCGUGGGGAGCAAACAGG
rnacentral:rRNA from 1 species